GGGGUUUUUACCUUAAAGUUUUAUUAUGCACAUUUUGUUAAAUGACAUUUAUUUAGCAGUCUUCUUACCAAAGCUGAUUAUUUUUUAUUUAGCAGUCCUCAACAUUUAUUAUUCACUUUGUCAACAUUCAUUUUAUUUCAUUUCUCUUAGAGAUUGAGAUACAAUAAGUAUGGUAAAGAAAGCAGGUUCCAAUUUAGUCUGAUGGCCAGUUGGUCUUUGUGCUGUGGAUUGUUGAGGUUUGGAAUUAUCAAAUUUUCAGUUAUUGGGGAAGAGCUCUGUUUCUUACCCUAAAUUAUAUUAAUUUUAUCCUUUUAUGAAUUGCCCUUUUUGUAGUUUUUUUUUUGGAUUAUCAGGGCCACACCUAUACGGAGUUUCUAAUCAGAACUUGAGAUGUCUUUGGAUAUGACUCUGUUUGCUGCUGUAUGGCUUGAAAAUGUUUGAUGCACAAAGAGACAUUUUCUUUGUUUUCUCCUACAUCCCUCCCUCCCUCUCUCUCUCACAGUUUUUUAUAUUGUAUCUGCUAUACUUGGUUUAAA
rnacentral:lncRNA from 1 species